rnacentral:rRNA from 1 species
GACGAACGCUGGCGGCGUGCCAAUACAUGCAAGUCGAGCGAAGCGGCGGACGGGUGAGUAACACGUAAGGAACCUACCGAUAAGCUGGGGACAACAUCCGGAAACAGGUGCUAAUACCGCAUACUUAUCGCUGGCCUUGCGGUGCAUUAGCUCGUUGGUGGUGUAACGGCCUACCAAGGCAAUGAUGCAUAGCCGACCUAAGAGGGUAAGCGGACAAAGUGGGACUUAGAGACUGCCCAAACUCUACGUGAGGCCGCAGUAAGGAAUCUCCCGCAUUGGGCCCAAGCCUGACGUAGCCACGUCGCGUGAGUGAAGAAGGUCUUCGGAUCGUACAGCUCUGUUGUAAGAAAAGCGGUAUCUUACCAGCAGGCCACGGUUAACUACGUGCCAGCAGCCGCGGUAAAAC